rnacentral:rRNA from 1 species
GUUAUAAGAUCCCUCAAAGAUGAUGAGGUAAAUAGGUUCGAGGUGGAAGCGUAGCGAUACGUGGAGCUGACGAAUACUAAUCGAUCGAAGACUUAAUCAAAUU